UGCUCAGCAACUCCUAUUCCUACCUCCUCGCGGUACCGACCGGUAAUUAUUAGGAACCUUAGGGAAGAUCGGGUAACCAACCCCCGUGGGAACUUUGGUCGUAGGCUGACAGGGAAGG
rnacentral:ribozyme from 1 species